rnacentral:piRNA from 1 species
UUCNGUCUACUAACCUGUCCAGCCCAUAUC